rnacentral:rRNA from 1 species
UACGUAGGGUGCGAGCGUUGUCCGGAAUUACUGGGCGUAAAGAGCUCGUAGGUGGUUUGUCGCGUUGUUCGUGAAAACUCACAGCUUAACUGUGGGCGUGCGGGCGAUACGGGCAGACUGGAGUACUGCAGGGGAGACUGGAAUUCCUGGUGUAGCGGUGGAAUGCGCAGAUAUCAGGAGGAACACCCGUGGCGAAGGCGGCUCUCUGGCCUGCAACUGACGCUGAGGCGCGAAAGCGUGGGGAGCGAACGGG